GGCUGACCCCCCUCCCCAAGUUAUUUCUUGCCAUCAAGCAGGUCUGAAGCAAUCGCACCCAUCAACGUUUUCAACGGCAGAAGGAAUCACCAGGGUGGUGGUGGUUUCCUGGCCAGGAGCCGCUUGUCGGGAGGUUCCAGGCUUUCCCUGAUGCACAGUGAGCUGCUGCCCCGAGUGAUAACAGUAGCCUGCGUUUCUCCUCCCCUUGCUUGCCUUUUUGCGGGAAAGGGCUGAAAGCUGUUAACAGGGAUGAGAAGCUGAGGACAGAGAAGAAGCAACAUUGGAUGAUGGCGAUUGUCUUUACCAAACAGACCAAAUAGUGACUGCAGUUUGGGGAGAAAAGCACAAAGGAUGAUGUGCAAGGGGGUCCACAAGUCGCCCCCCAAAGUCUGUGUCCUUUGAAUGUUUCCAGAAGAUUUGGCGCUGCACCAAAAGCAGACAGCAAAUAUGUAUGAAGUGCCUACUGGAGAGUAUUCUGAACACCAAAACUGAAAAGAAGAAGAAAAAAAAAAAUACACGUCCCUGGGUUCGUGGAACUUUCACUCUGUUGGGUGCACCGGGAGAUUAGACAGCAGCAGCCCCGGCCACUCCACUCACUGGCUAUUUAUCCGAGAGAAGUGAAACGUGACGUCCACCCAGAGGCUAAUACACAGAUGUUCGCAGAGGCCUUCCCCACAGUAACCCCCAACUAGAAACACCAGGAGGAGCCAAGGGGAGCACCGUACUGCAAUACAAAGGGAAAAAUUACGGACACGUCCCCACCGUGGAUGCAUCUCAGAAUCAUCACAACACGUCAAAGGAGAGCGCAAAACUGAUCUCUAGUGACGGAAGCGGUGUGCGAAUUGGGCCCUAGACCCGGGCCCAACAGACUACGCGGGCCACAGGGAAUCUCUUUGUACCGUGAUUGUGGUGGUGGUUCCAGGGGUGUAGACAUCUGCCCGCGUCCAUCACAUUGUACACCCGGAAACCAUACCGUUGCUUGUGUAUAAAUGAUCCCUCAAUAAAAUGUGCUGUUUUAUUUUA